rnacentral:rRNA from 1 species
CCUACGGGAGGCAGCAGUGGGGAAUCUUGGACAAUGGGGGCAACCCUGAUCCAGCCAUGCCGCGUGAGUGGUGAAGGCCUUAGGGUCGUAAAGCUCUUUCGCCAGGGAUGAUAAUGACAGUACCCGGUAAAGAAACCCCGGCUAACUCCGUGCCAGCAGCCGCGGUAAU